rnacentral:rRNA from 1 species
UCCAGACUCCUACGGGAGGCAGCAGUGGGGAAUAUUGCACAAUGGGGGAAACCCUGAUGCAGCGACGCCGCGUGAGCGAUGAAGUAUUUCGGUAUGUAAAGCUCUAUCAGCAGGGAAGAAGAUGACGGUACCUGACUAAGAAGCCCUGGCUAACUACGUGCCAGCAGCCGCGGUAAUACGUAGGGGGCAAGCGUUAUCCGGAUUUACUGGGUGUAAAGGGAGCGUAGACGGCGAUGCAAGCCAGAUGUGAAAGCCCGGGGCUCAACCCUGGGACUGCUUUGGAAACUGUGGAGCUAGAGUGCUGGAGAGGUAAGUGGAAUUCCUAGUGUAGCGGUGAAAUGCGUAGAUAUUAGGAGGAACACCAGUGGCGAAGGCGGCUUACUGGACAGUAACUGACGUUGAGGCUCGAAAGCGUGGGGAGCAAACAGGAUUAGAUACCCCAGUAC